GUGAAUUGAACUAUGCUUAGGUGUACUUCUCUUCGGCAAGUCCCUAGCAUUAAAUCACAUCCAUAACACCUGUGAACUGUAAGGACUGUAUGAAUGAAGGUCUUGCCAAGUCAGCGUCCUGCCCAUUUUAUACAAACAUUAAUGUAACAAACGUAGUCUUAUUAUAACCUAAUA
rnacentral:misc_RNA from 1 species